UGACCUCGGAUCAGACGUGAUUACCCGCUGAAUUUAAGCAUAUUAUUAAGCGGAGGAAAAGAAACUAACAAGGAUUCCCCUAGUAACGGCGAGUGAACGGGGAAGAGCCCAACACCGAAUCCCUUGGCGCAAGUCAACGGGAAAUGUGGUGUUAAGGUAGCCCUUCGUGUCAGUCUAGGCGUCUCAAGUCCACCUGAUUGUGGCUCAAGCCCAGAGAGGGUGUAAGGCCCGUAGAGACGCUCCGACUGAUUCCUGGGGUUUACCUACGAGUCGGCUUGUUUGGGAAUGCAGGCCAAAGCGGGUGGUAAACUCCAUCCAAGGCUAAAUACUGGCACGAGUCCGAUAGCGGACAAGUACCGUGAGGGAAAGUUGAAAAGAACUUUGAAGAGAGAGUUCAAUAGUACGUGAAACCGCUUAGAGGCAAACGGAUGGUGCUCAUACUGGCCUGAGGAAUUCAACUGUGACGGUGGCUGGACGAGCUGGCGUUCCGAUCUCUCUUUUGGGACGGGCGUCGGUUUGGCUAUCAGCUCCGACAUGGUGCACUUUCCUUGGUGCCUCCGCCACGACCGACGACACUGGCUACCCGCGGCUGGGGUAAGGUGACAAACUGCUUCGGCAAUUUGUGUUAUAGACCCCGGCGUCGGACAUGGUUUGGCCAGGACGUCGAGCUUGCGGCGCCCGCUCCUUGUGGGCUCGCAUGCUUGGCUAGCUUGGCUGCGAUGCUUGCACUGGACAACCAGUACAGGUGACGGUUGUGGUCUUGUCUCUAGUUGGCCUCUGCGAGUUUGGCGCCUAUAGUCUGUGGUGUACUUGUGGGUAGACUAUCCGACCCGUCUUGAAACACGGACCAAGGAGUCUAACAUGUGCGCGAGUCAUGGGGAUUCUACGAAACCCAAAGGCGCAGUGAAAGUAAAGGCCUGCUUCUCGUAGGCUGAGGUGGGAUCUCGUGCAUCGCGAUUGGCGAGCGCACCACCGGCCCGUCCUAUCUGUCUCUGUCAGUGGGGCGGCGCAAGAGCGUACACGUUGGGACCCGAAAGAUGGUGAACUAUGCUUGCGCAGCUCGAAGUCAGUGGAAACACUGAUGGAGGAGCGCAGCGUUUCUGACGUGCAAAUCGAUCGUCAAACGUGAGUAUAGGGGCGAAAGACUAAUCGAACCAUCUAGUAGCUGGUUCCCUCCGAAGUUUCCCUCAGGAUAGCUGGCACUCGGGAAACAGUUUUAUCCGGUAAAGCGAAUGAUUAGAGGCAUUGGGGUCGAAACGACCUCGACCUAUUCUCAAACUUUAAAUGGGUAAGAUGCUCG
rnacentral:ncRNA from 1 species